GCCCCGUUGGAGGUGAAUCGGACUGUAGAAGCAAUAUUUUAGCGGUUUAUCUUCUUAGAUACAUUCCGAACUGUCUUUAUCAGAAUUUCUGUUUGUGCUACCAACAGAUACCACAGACCAAGCUUGAUUUGUGUCUUCCUCAACGAAACCAUGGCUGGGCGACAGGCAGCUCGAAGGACCUCUCUAAACUGGGAUGAAUAUGAUACUGAUGAAGACAAGGAAGAAAUCGACAAAGUUGAAGCUAAACUGGGUGAAAAACUACAAGCUAAAGAGGACCGUCAGCCUGCAGUAAAAUGGAGAAAAAGAGACCAAUUUGGGCGGCUGAUUCUAAAGAGUCGCAGUUCUUCAAAAC